UUUUACAGCUAUUUACUAACUUGAUGUUUUUGUUUUAAAAUGAAAAACAUAAUUCAAGAUACCAAAUAAGAAAGUAAAGGGUAGGGAUUUUAAGGGAGCUUACUUAAGGAUGUAGGAAUAUAAGGCACAUCAAAAGUGCAUACUCUUUAGUGUUUGUGAAUUGAAUCUGGAAAAUGGUUGUUUUAUAGGUCUUGUAACUCCGUCACUAUAUGCAUUUAUAUAUGCAAGACAAUGAUAUCAAUCCAAAAUUGAUUUUCAUAAUUUUGUUAAACUAAAAUCUCAAUCAUGCACUGUGGUUUAAAACUUUAAAAUAACUUUCUCCAAAUAUCCUGGAUUUCUACCAAACUUGGACAGAAGCUAAAUGUUUAUGAUCAUAAGAUAAUAUCCGAAAGUAAAGUUUGUAAAAAAAAAUCCUUUUUUUCCCUAUAUUACUUAUAAACAUCAUAAAUGGCCUAGUUUUUUCCCCAGUUAACAUUACAUACACUCUGCAGUUAAAGAUUUUAAAACAUUAGAUUUUAUAAACCAUCCUGUAUUUUUACCCA
rnacentral:lncRNA from 1 species